UCUUGACGUGGUGAUUGAAAAGUGGUGGGUUUAUAGAUGACCGCGCGACGACGUUUAAACUGUCUGCGGGUCCGGAGAUCAUUGGGAGCAACAGUUCAGUCAGACCAACGGUGUUCAACUCUCUCUCAAGUUCGCCGCUCCUAAUGCUGGAUGGUGGAGGAUGACUAGCUGCAACCGGGAGGUUUAUGGAUGAAUGGAUGGCAGCGAAGCACAGCAUACGUGGAUUUCUAAGUGAAGAGUGGAUAAAUAAAUUGGACUUGCCUUUCAAACUGAAUAAGUUGUCCAUGGCCUACCUACGUUUUCACUGGAUGGUGGACGAUGACUGCAACCGGGAGGUGUAUGGAGGGAUGCUAUACGGAAUGGAUGGCAGUG